GAACCCCCGGUUCCAGUUCCGUGGGAGCGCAACACUGUUACAACGUGGGAAGCUCCAAGUACAAGUGCCGCCUUUGACUCCCGAAUUGAGGUGGGCUGGGGCGGAAGGCUCCAGGAGGAGGUGGUCUCGGAGGGGGACACCCCGCGGGAGGGUGGCACCUAGGGACCAGGAGAGCGGGGGCGCGGAGCGAGGGCGGAGCGAUGCCGCGGGAAGCCCAGCCUCGGGAGCUCGUCGGGGUAACGCAACCACGGCCGGGCCCCGACUCUGGCCACCAGAGGGCGCGCUGGCUUGUGAAAUGAUUCUCCGCCACCAGGGGGAAAACGCCCUUCGUUUUAUUCAGACCUCAGUUUCCACAUCAUGGAUGUACUUGGCACUUGCCGCCUGUUAACAGUGUUGCUCAUAGAUGCAUCCUUCCUCUCCUACUGAGGUUCUCCAGGGCAGACCCUGCCAGGUCAUCUCACCCCGAAGAGUCUGGCACAGGGCUUUCUUCACAGCCAUUGGGCAGGUGGGGGAUGCUUGGGCCAUUUCUGAAGCCUGGGUCAAUGUCAGUUCAGUUGCUCAAUCGUGUCCGACUCUUUGCGACCCCAUGGACUCCAGCACAUCAGGCUUCCCUGUUCAUCACCAACUCCCAGAGCUUGCGCAAGCUCAUGUCCAUCGAGUCAGUGAGGCCAUCCAACCAUCUCAUCCUCAGUCGUCCCCUUCUCCUCCUGCCUUCAAUCUUUCCCAGCAUCAGAGUCUUUUCCAAUGAGUCUGUUCUUCGCAUUAGGUGGCCAAAGUAUUGGAGUUUUAGCUUCUGCAUCAGUCCUUCCAAUGAAUAUUCAGGGUCAAUGAACUCCAGAUGAACCAGGAAGGGGAGUUUAUCUCACUGGGAAGCCCUGGGUCGGGCCUGUGGGAGCUGAGGGGAGGUCUCCUAGAGGCUGGGUAUUGGGUUGUCAGACAAAACACUGGAUGGCCUAGUUAAAUUUGAAUUUCAGUGGUCAAAAGAGAAAGCAUGUGACCAUGUGACAGUGCUUUGUAAACCACAAAAUGUGUGUGAUAAUGAGGAGCUGUCGGCUAGUGUCCUUGUUAAUCUCUUCUUCCCCUAAAAAAGUCAGGACACUGUGUUGAAUAAAAGGAGGAAAGGAGGGAGGGAAGGAGGAAAGAGUGAAGGGAGAGGAGAGAAGGCAGGAGACACACUCUAGGUGUGAUCAGCAUUUCCUCUUCCCUCCUGUCCGUUUGCUAAAUAUUCUAGGGACCCAGGGCUUUAAUUUUCUUAUUUCAGGUGAGCAGGUUUCUUCGUUAUGCAGCUAGCAUUUACUGAGUCCAUGUUUCUAUCCUCACAAGAGGGAACCUUCUAAUGGGGCACAGCCUGUACCCCACACAAUUCCCCCCUAGGUCCACAAGACCUCAGUUUACAGAGCACUUCUAUAGGAAGUUUCUCCUGUCAUCUAGGCAGCUGAGGGAUGGGAUUGAUUUCUCCAUUUCUCCAUUUUAGAGACAGGAGGCAAGGCUCAGGGACCCCAAGUGCUGCCCGAGGUGACCACAGAGAGUGGUCAGACUAACAGCCUUUUUCAGACUAACACUCCAAACGUAGUGAUCUGAUAAGUGCAUCAGGAGGAAAGUGAUCUUGUUUGUGGAAUAAAUGAGAACACUGUGGAAAACGAAACAAGCGGAGUGAAGAGGCUGCAUGCCUCCAGCCACUCCUCCCCUCGCUUGUCUGUUUCUGGGGUAACUGUCGUGGUUCCCACAGUCGUGCACGCUUUGGUUCUGCCAAGCCUCCCACACAGAGGAUCACUUAAUCCCCACAGCACCACGGGCAGGCCCUCGGGUCAAGUGACCUCUCCAGGGCCGCACAGCUGGAAGGUGGGGACUGUGAGCAUGGGGCUGUCUGCGUCUUGCUCAGGCUGUGAACAGUGCCCAGGACACGCAGGUGUGGAAAGACUGAUAGUUCUUACCUGCCAGGUCUUGACGGGCUUCUCUCUCUGAGCAGCCCUCUCGACUGCGAAGCAGCUCUGUGUGUGCUGACCUGGCAAAAUGCCUCCGAAGCCUUGAUGAGUGAGUGAAAGGGAAGUUGUGGAACUCUGCAGGCCAGUGCGCUAGGAACAAAAUGUCCCGUGGGCUCAUAUUUUGGUUUCUGUGAGGGAUAACUCUGAGAGGGUAUUAACCGCUGUCUCUGGUGGUCACCUUCACGGGGAGUGGAAUUGAAGAAGGGGAGGGUAGGGAGAACGUCCAACAUUCUGUGACACUGGCUGCUGUCUGAGUUUCUUGUAACAAUCCUUAUCCUUCAGGAACGUUGGAAAGGGAACGUUUGUAACAGGGAAAAUGUAGAGACAAUCCAAAGGCCCCAGGCCAAGCCUGGAGGUCUCCCCGGUCUGUCUAGUCAGGCUGCCCUUCCAGCCCAGCCUGCAAUAGGGUCGAAGGUGAGACACAUCAAAGGGUGGGAAUCAGUCCAGAGUUGAGUCAAAGAAAAGAGAAUUGUGCGGCCGUGGCAGGGACCCCAGUGGCUGCUGUGUGAGCAUGUGCACACACACAUACCAGACCUGUUACCUUCCUGCCCCCAACACACGCCUCUGAUCUGGCCUCUGCUCUGGGUUGAGGGCUCACAUGUGGUUCUCUGCCCCAGGCCAGUCCUGGGACCCCCCACUGCCAAGGCCUCUCUCUGACUUUGCCCCUGGCCUCACCCUGCUGACAGGAAUGGGCUGGGAGAAGGGGCUUAGGAUUGUCUGGGCCCUGGAAGUUCAACGCUCUGGGCAGUCUGCAGUGGUCCUGGAUUCCUUCUCAUUCUUUUUCUCAAGGGGAAGAAAGCCUUCCUUUAGCUCCUUCCACAAGCCUCCUCUUCUCUGGAGUAGCCAGGAAGUGUGAGCUCUGUCUACUUAGGAUCCCAAUUUGGUAGGAAGUGUGUUGAUAGGUGCGGACAUGUGUGUGUAUAAAACUCUGGAGUUGGUGUUCACGGUGGUUAUCUCUGGGGGGGGGAUUGUGGGUGAGUCUCGCUUGCUUCCUCACAUUUGUGGUUCAUGUUUGUUUAAUUUGUUUUUUAAAGUUUGUCCUUUAAAGUCUCACAGUCCCUGAGAUAAAAUCAUCCAGAGAGAAAGCACGAGAAGGAAAGUAAGAGAGAUACAUGAAAGGCAAGAAGGAGGGAAGGAGAAGCAGCAAUGAAGAGAGGGUAAAGUACAGGGAGAAAGAGAGGGUCAGGGGAGCAGAGAUGAAGGAGGGGGAGGCAAAGGGCAGAGGAGAGAUGGGGAGAGCCCUGCAGGGCCUGGGCUGAGGCCUUGGUGUGCCCCCUGCCCCCAAGUGUGGCAGCAGCUGGUGUCUUCCACAUGGCACUGCAACCCCUCCAGGCUAGCUCCCAGGCAUUCCGGCUGUGUUACACCCCGAGCACCUCUGCUGGGGACGGAGGCAGCAGAUGCUGCAGGUGGCCAGAGCCCAGCCUCCAGGCCGAGGAGCCGGGUGUUAGAGAUAAUCCUCUAGGGUCUCUCGUACUUUGCACAUUUCGUGAGCACAGGCACUGAUUGCGUUCUUUCCAGAUGGUCAUUUCCAGGAUGUUUGAAUAGCAAACAACCUUAGAAGAGAGUGGUAGUGUUUCCUUUUGGAGUGAAGAGCAGAUAUGCCCACUGCACGUUGUGUUUCCUUUUGGAGUGAAGAGCAGACAUGCCCACUGCACGUUCCAGAUGGUCAUUUCCAGGAUGUUUGAAUAGCAAACAACCUUAGAAGAGAGUGGUAGUGUUUCCUUUUGGAGUGAAGAACAGACAUGCCCACUGCACGUGGAGGUUUACAUUGCAAUCUACACACAACUUUCUGUUGUAUACUACAGUCUUUGUUCUCAGAAACAUGGGAGGGCAGUGUGGCCUAUUGGUUAGGAGGUCAGCCUCUGAGCAUAGACUCCAAUCCCAGCACUGCUGUUUAGGGUAUGACCCACAGAGUGUGGUCUGAGAGCAGAUGCUCAGAAAAGAAGGUGGGAAGAAAAAUACUUGGCAACUUUUAUUUAAAAUGAACACAAGGGUACCAGUGAGUCAACAGUUUUACUUCUAGGUAUAUACCCAACAGAAAUACAUCCAUAUGUGUGCUGAAAAACAACUAGAAUGUCCAAAGCAGUGGGAACUACCCCAGUGUUCAUCAGCAGUAGACACUGCGCAGGAGAGAGUUCUGUGCAGCAACGGGGACCUGCAGGAAUAUUCGUGAAUCUCACAGCCAUGUGGGGAAGGAGCCAGACGCAGUAUCAUGUACAAGCUGUGAGAUUCUUUUCAAACCGAAGAAACCGAAAACCAUCUUGAAUUACCAAAGAAGCUCCUCAGCCCCCUCGAGGCCUCUCGGGUAGGGAGUCACAUCUUAAGAGGCCCUCAUCCAGGGGGCGUGUGCAGGCUGCCUGGGUGUGGAAGAGGGAGCUGAGCACUGGGCCCCUUCCCUGCCUCUCCCUCCAACAAGGCACCCCAAACUAACCAGCACUGGCAGCCAGAGGGGAGAAAUUCAUUAGCAGAUCUGGUUUUGCAUAAUUUAGUGGUUGGCAUUAGCAAAUUAAGUCUGCUUGGCUUCCCUCGUUGUAAUGGCCUUUAGAGGAAACGUGGGGAAAAUACCCGCUCAUAAUCCCAGCAGUUUUCUGGAGCUGAUAAUUAAUAACAACAAUAAACUGUUAGUAAGACGUUGCAGUUUCCCCUUCGCAGGCUUUCAUGCUUGCUGCUCGCAACUGUAGCAAAGGAAAACAAGUCUGGAUUAUUGUCCGUUUGAUGACCAAGAAACUGAGAUGGGGGUGGGGUGGGGUUCAGCUGGGGAGGGAGCCCUCCUCUCUGCUGCCUGGGGCGUGUUAACGGGCGAGUGACGUCAAGAAUACUGGGGUUCAGGCAGGACCGACAGCUGAGGCCCUGCUCCACCCACAACCUUCUCAGUGGGAACCUUAUUCCUCACUUAGCUACAGCAAAUCCUAUUAACAUCAACAAUAAUAAAGCCAAUAUUUGUGGAUUACUUCUCGGCACCAAACUAUUUACUUCACUAUCUUCUCAUUAAACCACAACCACCCAUGAAGUGGUCACUGACAUCAGCAUCAAUUCACUGGUGAGGAAAUGAAAUCUCACAGAGGUGUAACAGAUACAAACAACUGAAUUGACUUCCUGGCCCUCAUCAGAAGACCUCCCUGACUACACAUGUGGAGAAAUGAAUGUUCCCUGAUGGUCAAAAGGCAAGUGAUGAUGACUACCCAUAGGCCUCUUCAGAAGAAUCCAUGUUGGCUAAGAGAUGCACCUACACAUAUGGGAAGAUCGAGAUAUUCCAAAUAUGGACUCUGAACCAGGCAAAUCAAAAUAAUUGGCCAAAGGAAACCCCAAAGAAAGUGAUUUAAACCUCCAUGAGGGCCCAGCUCUCUCUGAGUCUGCCUGUAUGUCUAUCCAGAGGUGCUGUACUCUUUUUUGUCCUAAUAAAUACUUUGUUUCACUCCUUUUUGUCUUUGUGGGAAUUCUUUUCCUCAAAGCCAAAGAGCCAAGGCCUGAUCACUGACCACUGGUCUAGUACCAGCAUAUGAUGCUCUCACCACUGUGGCCUGGACUCAGCCUCUGGC
ensembl:lncRNA